CUAGUCUGUCACACACACACACGCACACGCAUGCCCAGGUGCCUUUCCCUUCCCUGGGCCUCCGUUUCCUCGUCUGUCACCGAAACGGGGCUGGCGGAUUGAUCAAGUGACCGAGUUUACUGGCAGUCUUAUGACUAACGCCUAGAGACCAGUUAUUUACAGUUACUUAUGGAAGUCAUGCCUUUGACCUUUACUGAAAAAGCUUGACCUCGUAAUGUUCUCAGAAGCCAAGACUGGAAGUUGCAGAGAAAUCAACUUAGGAAAUUUCCUCACAUAGCAAAAUUUUAUUCAAUGAAAUUCCUAUCCCUAAAAAUGCAGAUGUUGCAUCAAAUUGGAUGAAUAUAAGUUGUAAACGUUAAAGUGCAAUGUUAAUGUAAUCUUGUCUCUUAUUCCAUUUUACUGCACAGCAAUUUCAAAUUAUCUGACCUGACUGGUGAAUGUUUUAUUAAACACUGCCUUCCUAACUUUGGAGAAUUAAGAAAAUAAGUGUUGGAAGACUACAUGUAGUGUCAUUGAUCUGUGGGCUAGUUUUAAUGAACCUUUUAUUUCUUAUUGCCUUAUGGCACAGCUUGCGAGGGAAAGGGUAGGGAAAUAAAGGUGAUGUAAAUACAAAGUUAUAAAGAUUAAAAAAUUUAAAAGUGUCAAAUUUCAAAGAUCCCUAAUAGUGGACAUCAAAAUAAUUUUUUUAGGAGCUUCUGCAAGAUAAAAGUUGAAAAUGAAGGAGGGAGAAUGCUUGAAGGACUGUACAAAUGCAGAACAAACAAUAUGGAAAUGUCACACUAAUUGAAAUCCCCAUGCUCAUAGGGUCACAGAAUUCUGUGCUGGAGAAAAUUUGUAGUGCCCAUCUAAUCUGAUCUUCCCAAAUUUUCCAGCAUCACAGAAGGGAGUUAAAUGGGAGAUCUAAGAUUCAAACUCCACCCAAUGGUAUCCAGCACUUUUAUCAUUAGACCAAUGCUCAAUUCCCUGGGCCCCCCCUCCCUUUUUUUUUUUGCCAGAUAGCAUAUUAACUCAUGGUUAUUAGUGCCAAAAGAGGAGUGAUAUUGAAGUUACUGAAAGCAGGGGCUUCCAUCACAGAGGAAUGCCUUUCUCUUAGUGGGUAUCACACCUCACCAUUGUUCAUCCUAGUUCAAAAGCUGAUGCUUAGGAAAUUGAAAAAAAAAUCUCAACCUUUUAAUACCUAGGUUAGCUUUUAACUAAAAUCUAGGCAAGAGUUAGUUAACUUAGGGAAAAAAGUGCAUUGCAAAAAUGACUAGUUAUGCAAGAUCUCUCUAGAAUUUUGACUUUUAAGAAUUAAAUAGAUUGUAAAAGUGAGUAUAUUUUUUUGUUCUUGUUUUCCUUAAGAGGACCAAAUAUGCAAUUUUUCAAAUGGACUUCUUCCUAAAAAUGUCUUUUACAUUUGCAGAUGACACUCAAAAGUGCUUAUUGAUUGUGUGUGGGUAUGUCUUGUAAGAGCAACAAUGUUCCCCACAUUGUGAAGUAACUAUACUUUCUGUUUAUAGUCACUCUCUACUUGACAUUUAUAACUUUUCAUACAGGCUGCCUAAUAAUUUUGCCAAAAAUGAACCAUGACCAUUAGCUGAUUAUGGCAUGGCAAGCUGGUCAAUAUUGGUGUUUCUCAUCAUAAGCUGUUUUUGAGCUCUUCAAAAGUAAAUUUUUGUUACCUUCACUAUGUUCUCCCAGAGUGCUCAGAUGACAUCUCUCCUUUGCAGAUGUCUUAGCCAAGGGAAUUGUUACGCAAGUACAAUUACUAUGCUGAAAGAUUAGCUGUAUCCCGGACUUUUAAUGUUGAGUAUUACAAUAUAAACCUUCUCAGGUAUUUGAUAGAGAAGAUACUUUAAAUCUUUGUGCCACUUGAAAAUACACAAAAAAAGUGUAUUUACAAAGCACUUUCCUCCCAACUUUGUUGUUAGAUUAAUAUUAGAAGAAAACAAACAAGGGCUGAAUAUUUAGUGACUUGCCAAGGGAUUUAUAGUAAAGAAGUCAAGACUCGGAGAUCCUCUCCAAAUCCAGGGCUCUUUUAAGUACUAACAUGAAGUAAAACAAUCUCCUGUUACAAUUUAGGACUCUUAAAACUGUAGUUGGUGGAUACUGUUUCAAGUUAAUGGGAUCUGGAUAAAUCUUUGGGAAACACUUGCAAGCAAGCAUUCCAUUCCCUUCUCUAUGAUUGUCAACAUAUCCUGCCAUCCUGGAGCUUAGUGUUUCUUCUGCCUUUGUCAUGUUUCCUACUCUAGCCCAACACACCCAAGUAAAUCCCAAGCUUUGUUGACAUUAAGUUGAGAAACCCCAGCUCUUUAAAUUUCAAGUAAUUUAUCUAGCCAGAAGGUAUGGCUGGAAAAAUGUAUUGGCAAAGGAUACGUUUUUUCUUUUCCUUAAAAGUGGAAAGUUACCUCCUUUGAAUUGGAGAAAAAAAAAUGCAAAAGUGAGAAAAGUUUGUGUAUUGUCUGUUAGUUUUCUCAGAGGGAUUUAGUUGGAUCCUGUGAGGAAUGAUUAAAGUAGUAGUUUGUGAAAGAAGGCAAUCAUAGAAAUAAUUCUUUGAGCCCAAGUAUCAAAGGCUGGCAGUUUCAAGUACUAAAGCUUAUUGACUUGGGACAUUUGUCUUUAUCUUUAACAAAACAAUUUACUUAGUAUAAAAAAGUAAUGAGUGUUGCAGGAAGAGUCAUUUUUAUUUAAAAUUUAACAUGGCUGCAUAUUCUGAAUUUAAUAUAAGAUUUGCAAUAUAUAAUAUUACCAUACCGUCACUAUAUAUUGAACAGAAAAAUAUGCUAAUAGGAGGCAUGCAAGAUUAUUUUGAACAGUCUCUGAAAGAUUAACAAAUGCAAGGACACUUAAUAUAUUUUAUGUAAGAAACAUGCCUGGUUUUAUUGCUUCAAAAAAUAAAGCAUAGGAAGGUUUUUCCCUAGUUUCAGUUUACAAGUGAGUCUCUAGCUAUUAGAUGAUAAUUCGAGUCAAUCACAUGAAUACUGUUUUUUACCCCUUACAAAUAACA